rnacentral:tRNA from 1 species
GGGCGUUCACCUGGUUGGGCGAGUCAGCGCACCCCUUCUGAUCAGCUUCCCAAGCUGAAUACGGGAGUUCGAUUCUCCUCACCCGCU